AGGACAUCUGCAAGGACAGAGAGGUGACAGAUAGCAUAAGGACAGCCGCUGUGAGGUUGGGAACAGGCUGACCAGGCCUGUGGGUAGGACGUGUGCAUCAGCCACUGCCCUGUCCUGGCCCACUGUUUGUGACCACCUCCUGGGAGUGUAGUGACCACAGCAAGGGUGUGGCCCCUUCUAGAUCUCCAACAUUGCAGCAGCACCACCCAGCUCCCUGAAUCCCUCCUCGGAGCGGCCUCUGAAGAAAGGUUGCCAGCCCCAUUGCUGUGGCUUGUUUGGGUGUUUUCGCUCUGGGUGUUCUUGUCAUGCUGUGCCAACCCUGCCAGAGCCCCAAAGCAGUAAGGUCACUGGACCUUGGACAAGCAUCUCCAGAACUGUGUGGUGUGAUCAAAGACCCUGAAGACUGCAACCCUGGAGUCCCUACACCCUCCCUGGAAGUUGGACGUAGAUGGAACCCAGAAAGACCAGACUGGCCCAAGAUAGCUGGCUUUCUUUCUAUCACAAAGGCAACUGCAGGAAACCUUGAAGCUCUUACAGACUCC